CCUACGGGUGGCAGCAGUGAGGAAUAUUGGUCAAUGGCCGGAAGGCUGAACCAGCCAAGCCGCGUGAGGGAUGAAGGCGCUGAGCGUUGCAGACUUCUUUUGCCGGGGGACAAAAGGCCUGACUCGUCCGGUCCUGAGGGUACCCGGAGAAAAAGCGUCGGCUAACUCCGUGCCAGCAGCCGCGGUAAUACGGAGGGUGCGAGCGUUAUCCGGAUUCAUUGGGUUUAAAGGUUGCGCAGGCGGGCCUUUAAGCCUGCGGUGAAAUCGCGGGGCUCAACCCCGGCGAGGCGUCGGGAACUGGGGGCCUUGAGUGCGGCGGAGGCAUGCGGAAUGCGGGGUGUAGCGGUGAAAUGCAUAGAUAUCGCGAAGAACCCCGAUUGCGAAGGCAGCGUGCGGUACCGCCACUGACGCUGAGGCACGAAAGCGCGGGGAUCGAACAGGAUUAGAUACCCGUGUAGUC
rnacentral:rRNA from 1 species